CGAAUCAACGCAUUGGCGACUGUAGACUUGUACAUUCAGGCGGACCUUAUGGCGAGAACCUAGCGGGGAGCAGCGGUGACCUUUCAGGAACCACCGCUGUGGAACUGUGGGUUGAUGAAAAAGCGUUUUAUGACUAUAACUCUAGUAGUUGUGCUGCCGGAAUGGUGUGUGGGCAUUACACUCAGGUGGUUUGGUCUUACUCAGUUCGCAUAGGAUGUGCUAAGGUGAAGUGCAACAAUGGAGGAGCUUUCAUUUCUUGCAACUAUGACCCUCCUGGCAACAUCAUUGGACAGCGUCCUGGCAAUUACUUGCAACGCUCAGGGUUUUUUUUUUUACCCGAAAAGUUCUGCUUCUAUCACUUCUCUAAUUUUAGUAUUAAUUCAUAAAAUAGAUAAAUGUACAAAAAUUCAUUUGUAUUUAUCUGUUAUUGAACUCCACAGUUAUAGAACUUAUGUACCUUUAGCGGUGUGUUAUUAUAGAUGUAAUAAUUUUAUGGACCCACUUUAUAAACGUAAUGUAUUACAAAUUGGGCCCGGUCUAUGAAAUAUUUAAAUGUGUUAAAUUGGGGCCAAAGAAUAAUAUACUUAUGAGAUAGUUAAAUUUUUGUGAUUUAUGCUUACUAUAGGCCUCGGUAGCCUUAAACUUACCUAGGUCCUAGUGUCGGUCCGGCCUCUGGAAACGGAUCGUGACAAAUAUUUUUUAAAAAGUAAAUUUUCAAAAAUUUUAAUUUAAAAAAUAUUUUAAAUUAAAAUAUUUAAAAUUUUAAUUUAAAAAAUAAUAUUUUAUUAAUAUAUUUAAACUAUUCCAUCGAAUAUUGGUAUUCUCCUUCCUAAACUUCAGCAAAUACGAAUAUGGGGAAACAAUUUUAGCGGUUGGAUUCCUGUUUCGUUAUCAAAUGCUACGAGAAUUGAGCACAUCGAUUUAGCACGUAAUAGUUUCACAUAUCAACUUUCGAAGCCUAAACAAACUUUCUUUUCUGAGCUUGGAAGAAAAUAAUCUUGGGACCAAAGAAGGUGAUAAUUUUUGAAUUUUAUUACUUCUUUGCUCAGUUGUAGCUAUCUGAGAACUUUGGAUUUGUGUGUCAAUAGGCUAAAGGGGGUUUUGCCAAAUUCGAAAGCUAAUCUAUCUUCAUCUCUCUAAUUUCUGGGAAUUGGGCAUAAUCAAGUAUAUGGAUGCCUUCCAGAAUGGUUUUGUGCUCUUGUUAGCUUAACAACAGUGGGUAUACAAGCUAACCAAAUGUGUAGAAGUAAAUUGAAUAGAGAAUAAAGAAUUGCUAAACAUUCCAAUUUAAAACUCUUUCUUCAUUAUUUUUAAUUCAAAAAAAAAAACAUAAUCAUGAAUUUGGAUAAAAAACUAUUGACCCAAAGACUCAAAAACUAUAGAAUUAAUGCAUACCGACCACAGUCCACUGUACCCAGAGACUCUCAUAAUUAGAUGAAAAUAUUUCAACUUUCCUGGAAAUUUCCAAUUAAAGGAAAUCAUUUAUCUUUAGAUAAGACAAAAAUUUGGGUUUCUACCUUCUCAAUAAAUCAUUUUCAAAAGAAAAAAGAAAAAAAAAGCUAGCUUUUGCUUUAUAGACUUUGCAAGUCAAGUCUUAGCACUAAUAGUCAAAUUCAUAUUUCUAUCGGUCGGUCAUCUUGCAUACAGAAAUUACCACAUCUCUUUCUUUUUCUUUUUGCUUUUUCUAGGGGAAGAGAUGACUAUGUCUCCUUGAUAUCAAAUUGACCAACAAAUUCAUUAAGCGUUUAAUUUGUAGAAUUAGCAAAGGUUGAGUAUGAUAUUUCAACAUAUUAAAUAGGAAUCAUUGCAAAUAAAUCAAAUAAAAUUCAGUGUUUCUAUAGUCAAAUUUUAAAAUUUAGCACCAUGUAGUAUAUAGUGUUGCACAUGCAUAUUUCUCAUUAUAGGGAUUAUGUUUCUCGUUAAAAAAUUUUAACGAAAGAGUUUGAACAUGAGACUUCUCACUUCUCACAUAAAUAAGAAAAUCAAUCAAACCACCACGUAAUUAGUAUUAUCUCAUUUUCUUUGUUCAAUUUAAUUAAAUAUUUUGUAUAAAUAUUAACUUACACGCAUUGUAUAAAUUUAUUGUGCAUAAAGACGGUAGCUUGUAUUGUUGUCCCUCUUGAAGUUUCUUUUGAGAUUCAGAGGACAAGUUGAUUUGGUUUAAUAUUUAAAUGACUAUGUUUUUUAAUCCAUGCUAUAAAACUAAUGAGUUUUUUUUUAAAAAAAAUAUGGUGGAUUAUUUAAGGUAAACAUAAUAGAUUCAAGAAAUGCAUAUGGGCCAAGUGGGAGACUGUUGGAUUAUUUAAUAAUUUGUAUGUGGCCCAUGUGAUUAAAGGGCUGAUUCUAAUUAAGGUGGUCUAAGAUGAUGGUUAUUGGGCUUAAUGGAUAAGAGCUAGUCAGGGUUUUAAUACUCUUCCUCUGCCUUAUAAAAUAUAAAGGAAUCAACAGAUUAGGUUAACACAGAAACAAGAGAGUGUGACGGCUCCCUCAAACACAUACGGAAAUAGUUUGUUUGAGUGAGCUCAUAAAAGAAACUCCCGCAGCUGUUGAUUAUUCUCUGACCAUUAAGAGAGCACUUACGGACAAGGCCAGAGUGAAGAAACGUAGAUCUGCUGUUACGGUGAGAAUCGACUUGCAACAAACGAGAUAACCCAUAACAUAGAUCUGCCGUUAUGGACCAAGGUACGCUUCCGAUUAUUGUAUAUUCUUGUCAAACAAAUUCUAUAAACAAUAGAUCUGGGCUAUAUUAAAGAUUAUUUAACAACUCUAUGUAGAUCAAUUGUCACUAUUUUACUUAUUGGGUGUUUAAGUUUAGUGUAAAUAAAUCUUUCCCUUUUAUCUUAUAUGCUUAAUGGUUUGGCUAGUGGUUAAUAUACUAGCAAAGCUUAGUCUAGUUAAAGAUCAAUGGGGUUACUAUUUUUUUCUUUUGAUCAGCAACAAAAAAAUUUUUUUAUUAGAAUUAAAAAUAAAAUGAAAAGUUUAGCAUUUUAUUAGGAUAUUACGUUUGAUACAAGUCGCUAGAUUCAAAGUCUAGAGUGCUAAACACUUCACCAUAGAACCUUUCAGUAGGGUUACUAUUUACCACCAUAGGCAACUUUAUACUUGGACUAAAGAAACACAAACGAUAAAAAAUUUUCAUUUGUUAUAUAGAAGCCAUAAGUGAAUUUUAAUCGAUUAGAUUAAAAUCAAAUCCAUUUAUCAAUAGAUCUAACCUUUAAAAAUUAUAUACAACUAGUGAAUUAAUCAACUGACUCUUACCGAUUGGACCAGUUUAAUCACUUUAGUCAUUUCCACUCAGACUAAUUCCUGUUGGUAAUUUCUUUUACCUUUUUAAUUACUCGAGAGGGAAAUUCGAGACUCAAUCUAUAUUUUAAGAAUACACCAAACCAAUAAAAAAAUGGCAUUAUUAUUAUUAUUUAAAUUUUUAAUUCCAAAAAGACAAACAUCUCCUUUUCCAUUAAUAUCUGCUCUUAUCUACGUUGUUGUGUGAUGAUUUAUAGUAAGGUUAAUAAAUUGUAGCAGAACAAUAAUGAAAGCAACAAAGAAAAACAAAGAUAAUGCAACAAAACUGGCAUACCAUCUUCGAUUAUAAAAAAAUUUUAAUUUCUCAAAAUAAAACUUUUGAAUCCUGAAUAAGAAUAUAAAAAAAUGAGUCUUUUUUGCAGAUUUGGCAAAUACCCAGACGCAAACUGAAGAGAGUCUGAAGAAACUAAACUGAAACAACACGGAAAAAAUAAGAGAAUAGACAUUUUGAGAUUUACCAAGAUUUGAUUUUAAAAUAAAUCACUCGAAACAAAAUCACCAUGCAGAGCUGAGGUUAGAGGAGGAAGAUAGAAGAUAUAUUUUGGAUUAUUAAUUUUUCUAAUUUUUUGGAAUUAAAAAAUUAAUUAAUGACAUUUAUUCUUCUGGUCUAUGUAGGGCCAUAGAUGGAAUCUAGAUAAGUAUUUUUCUUUUUUAAUUAAUUGAAAGCAAAAUGGAAUAUAUAUAAUAAUGCAAUGCACAACAAUUGCACUACUUGUCGAUCAUUGGUGAAUUGGAAAUAUCUUUACUCCUCUGUUUGACGUUGCAUUUCUUUCUUUUUGCAAGUUUCUAUAUUUUACUAUUUCACAUUCCAGAUUAUGUGAUAUCAUCCACUCAUAAAAUAUAAUUUGAACCAUAAUUAAUUUUAAUUGCUUUACCAUUAAGACCAAGUAAUGUUAGCCACAUCACAAACACAACUUUGUUAAUUAAUUUUUAAAUUUUGAUUUAAUUUUCAUGUCAAACCUAAGUGAGUUAUUUUUAUUUAUGAAUUUUCAGAAAAUAUAGAUGAUUUUUCUUUAAAAGAAAAUCAAACAUCUCAUUGUAAUUAAUAAAUUUGAUGUAUUAAAUUUGGAUCUAAUUUUGAAGUCAAAACUCAUAUGGGUUAUUUCUAUUUAUGAAUUUUCAGAUAAUAUACAUGAUUUUUCUUUAAAAAAAUAAAAAUUAAAUAGAUAGUUGUCAAUCCGGUAUGGUUUUGUUAGUCUUCUUGAUUAUAUGAGGAGUGAAUGUUUUGAGUUUGAAUAUUCUCCACCGCUAGUUUUUACUAAAUUUGAUUAGUCAAUAGGAGGGCUACUUCUAUUGUAUAGACGCAAUGUUAUUUUGGUUCUUUUAGCCUUCCAGUAAAGAAAUAAAUAAUCAAACAUCUAGUUUAAAUUACAAGAAAAUCCCCCUCUGACCUUUCAACCCUUCAUUGGUUAGAUACAAUUUCUUUUUGCUUAUGCUACUAAUUUUAGUUCCGUGUCCAUGCUAUGUAAAGCGACACCGUAAGCACUGACUUUUCUCAAUUAAUUCCUCUACCCAUUACAAGUUUUUACCAAUUUGAAGUCAUCAUCCAUAUCUCUUCCAAUACCAUAUGCCUAUAAAUUCCAAUCUAACAUGUUAACAAUUUUCAUCAAUUGCCUACCCUCUUAUUUUCCAUCACAAACCAAAAAUGUUGUCCAAAAUUUUAUUACCCCUCAUUUGUCUAAUGAGUGUAACCUUAAUUAUUCCCUUGCAUGCCCGAGACUCACCUCAAGACUACGUUAAUGCCCAUAACACAGCUCGAGCGGCCGUGGGAGUUGGUCCGGUGACUUGGGAUAGCACGGUGGCGGCCUAUGCACGAAAUUACGCGAAUCAACACAUUGGCGACUGUAGACUUGUACAUUCAGGCGGACCUUAUGGCGAGAACCUAGCGGGGGGCAGCGGGGGCCUUUCAGGAACCGCGGCUGUGAAACUGUGGGUUGAUCAAAAGGCGUUUUAUGACAAUAACUCUAGUAGUUGUGCUGCCGGAAAGGUGUGUGGGCAUUACACUCAGGUGGUUUGGCGUAACUCAGUUCACAUAGGAUGUGCUAAGGUGAAGUGCAACAAUGGAGGAACUUUCAUUACCUGCAACUAUGACCCUCCUGGCAACUACGUUGGACAGCGUCCUUAUUAGAUUGAAGUAUUACCUCAAAGUUUUAACUUUUUAUGAAUAAAUUAUAUAUCAUAUAAUGAAAUAAGAAACAUUGUAAAGGGUUGAGAUUUCCUAUGGAAUGGAACUCUGCUGUUGUAGAACUUAUGUACCUUAACUAUUCCGUUGCAUGCCCUAGACUCACCUCAAGACUACGUUAAUGCCCAUAACACAGCUCGAGCGGCCGUGGGAGUUGGUCCGGUGACUUGGGAUAACACGGUGGCAGCCUAUGCACGAAAUUAUGCGAAUCAACACAUUGGCGACUGUAGACUUGUACAUUCAGCCGGACCUUAUGGCGAGAACCUAGCGUGGAGCAGUGGUGACCUAUCAGGAAUCGAUGCUGUGAAACUGUGGGUUGAUGAAAAGGCGUUUUACGACUAUAACUCUAGUAGUUGUGCUACCGGAAAGGUGUGUAGGCAUUACACUCAGGUGGUUUGGUGUAACUCAGUUCGCAUAGGAUGUGCUAAGGCGAAGUGCAACAAUGGAGGAACUUUCAUUACUUGCAACUAUGACCCUCCUGGCAAUUACUUGCAAGACUCAGGUUUUUUUUUUACCCGAAAAGCUUUGCUUCUAUCACGACAGAGCAAGAAAAGAAUUCUCUAAUUUUAGUAUUAAUUCAUAAAAUAGAUAAAUGUACAAAAAUUUAUUUUUAUUUAUCUGUUAGUGAACUCCGUCGUUGUAGAACUUAUGUACCUUAACUAUUCCCUUGCAUGCCCAAGACUCACCUCAAGACUACGUUAAUGCCCAUAACACAGCUCGAGCGGCCGUGGGAGUUGGUCCGGUGACUUGGGAUAACACGGUGGCGGCCUAUGCACGAAAUUAUGCGAAUCAACAUAUGGGCGACUGUAGACUUGUACAUUCAGCCGGACCUUAUGGGGAGAACCUAGCGUGGAGCAGCAGUGACCUAUCAGGAAUCGAUGCUGUGAAACUGUGGGUUGAUGAAAAGGCAUUUUACGACUAUAACUCUAGUAGUUGUGUUGCCAGAAAGGUGUGUGGGCAUUACACUCAGGUGGUUUGGCGUAACUCAGUGCGCAUAGGAGGUGCUAAGGGGAAGUGCAACAAUGGAGGAACUUUCAUUACUUGCAACUAUGACCCUCCUGGCA
rnacentral:lncRNA from 1 species